AGAGUUCGAUUCUGGCUCAGGACGAACGCUGGCGGCGUGCUUAACACAUGCAAGUCGAACGGAGAACUUUCUUCGGAAUGUUCUUAGUGGCGAACGGGUGAGUAACGCGUAGGCAACCUGCCCUCUGGUUGGGGACAACAUUCCGAAAGGGAUGCUAAUACCGAAUGAGAUCCUCUUUCCGCAUGGAGAGAGGAUGAAAGAUGGCCUCUACUUGUAAGCUAUCGCCAGAAGAUGGGCCUGCGUCUGAUUAGCUUGUAGGUGAGGUAACGGCUCACCUAGGCGAUGAUCAGUAGCCGGUCUGAGAGGAUGAACGGCCACAUUGGGACUGAGACACGGCCCAA
rnacentral:rRNA from 1 species